CUCUGCCAACUGAGCUACGCGGUCUGGUCGGUUCGAGUAUGUGAUAUUUCGGAACAGAAUCUAGUUCCUUCGAUAUCAAUCUUAUCUAAGAAUAAUCAUGAUUUUUUUCUGUGUUGGUGCAAUGUACUCAGGUGAAUAUGAUGCUUGUGAUGUUACUCUGAGUGUACAUCCACACCGGGCAAGCUUGAAAAAUAUGCCUGACCACGGUGAGAAUCGAAC